AUACGGUAUGGUCCUAUCUUACACAUGGAAAUGAAUUCGAAAAUGCAAAGCUACCUUUUCUUCCCUGAAGUCAGCCAUAACAGGGUCCAUCGAGAAUGCAGAACCUACUUUCUUGGUGAAGUAGGGAGGUUAGGCCUGGCGGGCGUCCUAUUGGCCACAUGGUGAAAGGUCCUCUUGUCCUGGUGUUGGUGGCCACUGGUGUUGUCUCAGGGAUUUAUCUCUGAUUCAGGUCUUCUGUAGUUGAGUUCUUCCCCAAGGCUGUCACUGUCCAAGAGGAAACUGGGAAAGGAGGCAAGUACAGUGGAGCAGGUGAGGCACCUGAAGCAAGUCCAGUGAGAUGAGAUGCAAAGUAGCAGUACACAGAGACAAAGGAGACCAUGUCCGUAAAGGACAAUGAAUGGCAGAGGAAUCAAAGAUGAAGACUGAAGGUGCCA